AUUGCAUUUCAGCAGCGCCCGCGCACAUGGACGCUCCAAUUACAGCUCUAGAGGCUAGAAAUUGGCAGUCAGGAUGUGUGUAAGGCCACGCUCCCUCUGAAGACUCCAGGGGAGGAUCUUUCCUUGCCUCCUCCAGCUUCUGGUGGCUGCCAGCAUCCUUGGCAUUCCUUGGCCUGUGGACACAUCACUCUCAUCUCUGCCCAUGGUCACGUGAGUUUCUCUCCGUGUCUCUCUGUCCUAAUUUCCCUCAUUUUAUAAGGAUACCGGUCAUUGGAUUUGAGUUCACCCUAACCCAGAAUGACCUGUCUUAACUUGAUUAUAUCUGUAAUGUUAUUUCCAAAUGAUACAGACAGGAGACAGGGUGACACUGGGUAGAAGAGGGUGGUUCUCCAGCAAAGGCCCCACCCUCAAGCCUGGAUACCUGAGGCCCUAAAUGAGAAUGGGAAUUCCUGUUUUCAAGCCCCCAAAGUUGCCUUUUGGCCCACCACGCCCCCUAUCUUGCCCCCAUAUAAGCCCAGAACCCCAAGCUCCAGAAUACAGACCAGCAGGCGAGGAGACAAGGAGGCAAGCAGAUGGAUGGUGGAACAAAGUGGCAGAGAAAGAGAGAAGAGGAGAGAUGUCUGGACGCCAAGAGGAGUCUGGCUGGGGCCAGUCAGAGAAGAGUCCAGCGGCUGGGCAGCCCGACUCCAGGGGAAGAUCACCUUCCCACUCCAUCCCCCUUCACGCUCCCCAUCCAUCUCACUAAGAGCCAUCUCUACCACUCAAUAAAACCUUGCAUUCA
rnacentral:lncRNA from 1 species